rnacentral:rRNA from 1 species
CGCCCGGGCUUCGGCCUGGUUAUUCAUAACCCUUUGUUGUCCGACUCUGUUGCCUCCGGGGCGACCCUGCCUUCGGGCGGGGGCUCCGGGUGGACACUUCAAACUCUUGCGUAACUUUGCAGUCUGAGUAAACUUAAUUAAUAAAUUAAAACUUUUAACAACGGAUCUCUUGGUUCUGGCAUCGAUGAAGAACGCAGCGAAAUGCGAUAAGUAAUGUGAAUUGCAGAAUUCAGUGAAUCAUCGAAUCUUUGAACGCACAUUGCGCCCCCUGGUAUUCCGGGGGGCAUGCCUGUUCGAGCGUCAUUUCACCACUCAAGCCUCGCUUGGUAUUGGGCAACGCGGUCCGCCGCGUGCCUCAAAUCGUCCGGCUGGGUCUUCUGUCCCCUAAGCGUUGUGGAAACUAUUCGCUAAAGGGUGUUCGGGAGGCUACGCCGUAAAACAACCCCAUUUCUAAGGUUGACCUCGGAUCAGGUAGGGAUACCCGCUGAACUUAAGCAUAUCAAUAAGCGGAG